AAAGUUUUGGUGCACCGAUUACAACGGUAUUUUCCUUUAUAUGGUGACUUUGCCAGUAGAUGAAGAGGGUGUCUACGAUGAAUGCGCCGCUUGAUCUCACGGGGCAGCUCGGCGCAUUUCUUAUGAAGAAAGAAGUAGCAAGAGGUGCAACUGUAGCAAGGACCCCAUAUUGGUCCCUCGCAUCCAGAGCAAAUAACUAGUUCACAACUAUACUCGAGAACUUGAUUAAUGAGGAUCAACGGAUGAUCUGGGUGGCUAAAAUGUUCAACCUCCAUGUCUCUGGCUCUCUCAGAAGGCAGAGCAGGAAAUAAGGGGUGUUGACCCAAGGCAAGACAUAGGGAGGCCAUAUUGAAGCUGCCGAAUAUAUAUGUUAUCGAAAUGGAAAGGCAAAUAAAAGUUGAGUGCUACAAGUAUUCAAUACCUCAUCUUCUCAACUGAAACUUGACCUCUUCACCGACGGCUAAUUAAAUAAUCACAGCUGCUUACUGCUACAUUACAGAUCAACCAACGAGAUCCAGAACACAGUGAUUUCCAAUCAAGAUCGGAUACCAAUCAAUUGCUGGGGAAGCAUUUUUCUUCCUUCUUCCCAUUUAUCAAAGAUUAUGGGACAGAAAGCCCAAACGAAAAAUAAUUAAAAGGACCCGAUAUUCAAAGAAGCCCAAAAAGGAAGGAAGGGUGUUAUCUGUAAGGAAUAGGUGGGAAGAAGAUCGUGAGGAAAGCUACAGGCUCCUCUAUUUGUGCGGAUGAGAUUAUUUUCAAGAAUGUGAAUAAGAAGACACUUUCCCAUGUCUUUUCUGGUUGGAGAAGAAGACUCGUUGACUUGAGUUGCGUCUCCUCAACUUCUUAUAUUACUCAUUUGCCCAUGGGUAGCGGUUUAAAAUUGCUUUCUAAACGGUUUUUUUAAUAAAAAAAUAUUUAAAAUUAAGUUUUUUGUAUUUUUAAAUAUGUUGAUAUUAAAAAUAAUAUUUAAAAAAUAAAAAUAUUUAUUUUAAUAUUUUUUUCACAACAAAUCCUCUCACAAGCCAUAGUGAUUCACGAAUGAAUUUAGUUUUUUUGUAUAAUUUUGUAGUUAUUUAUAAAAUUUCUUAGAUAUAUAAUUAUAAUUUUGUAGUUAUUUAUAACCAAAAAGAAGGGUUACUGAUAAGUUAAUAUCUUUGCAGCAGUAAAUCAAGUAAGUUAAAUAGUAUUACAUAAUAAUGUAUAUAAUUUAUUUCUCUUUGUUUAUGCAUCCCACAUUAUAUAUAACUUCUUCGAUGAACAAACCAAUUGAAAUAUAAUAUAGAGCCUCUGGUAGGUUUGUGCUUGAAUGACCACUGUUCAAUAAAUAAGGUGAAAUGACAUAUCAAAUAGAUGUAUUUUUAUUUCAACCUUAGAAUUGAUUUUUCUUGUGUGUUUUUAAAUUUUUAUUUUAUUUUAUAUUUUUAGAUUGAUUUGAUAUAGUAAUGUUAAAGAUAAAUUUUUAAAAAUAAAAAAAUAAUAUUUUAAUAUAUUUUUAAAUAAAAAACAUUUUAAAAAAUUAUCACUAUUAUAAUACACAUGGUGGUUUGGAUGUGUUUCGAUCAUAGUUUUAAAAUUUGGUUCAGUUCAGGUUUAAAAACUCUAGUUUUGAUAAUUUGAAAUUCAAAACAGCGGCUUCAUGAAGUUUAUCUAGAACAAAAAUUAGGUCAUUCGUUUGAUAAACCUAUUUCUUGGUUAUCUCUACCAAGUAAUUUCUCGUUUGUCCUUUUUAUUUUUCCUUUCUCCUUGUUUCUUAAAGUAAAAUGUAUUAAGAAAGUGAAACAAAGAUUUUCUUCAGAGGUAAAAUCUAUUUCUUGGUUAAUCCAUUGAUCAACUCCGAAAAAAUUAAGGCAAAGUAACUGUGGCAAGGUAUUAUAUUUAUGAUAACCUCACCAAUAUUCUUUCGAAGGGGCCUCUAAACGAAGCACUAUAGUGCCUUUUUUUUUUCUUUCUUAUUUUUCAUUUGAUUUUUUUAAUAAACGCUUCUUCUUUUUUUUGCAAUUUCAUUUUUAAUAUUAAAUUUAUUUUUUAUUGGGUUAUUUCAGGUUCAUAAUUCAAAUAAUAAAUUUAGCUGAUUAACCCAAUUGACUCAAGGUUUUUUAUUUUCUUGAUUGAUUUUCCUCCAAUUUGAUUCUUUAAUAUUGAGUUGAACAUUAUGAUUUUUUCAGUUUGCUUUCUAUUAGGUUAUCACGAUUCAUAUAAAUAACUUAACAGAUUAACCCGAGUUGACUCAGGUGAUUUUUUAUGCCUUUUUUAAAAUAUAUUUUUUAAUUUUCUUAUUCAAUAUUAGACGAGUUGGAAAAUGAGCUUUACAAUUUUUUUUAAUUUUUUUUAUGAGGUUGUCCUUAUCUUAUGAUCAAGGUUGCGGGUCUAGCAGGUUAACCAAGUUUAAAAUAAAGUUAUUAUUUUUAUUUUCUUUCUAUAAGGUUAUCUCGGUCUCAUUACCCAGGUCAUGAGUCUUUCAACAUUGAUUUUUUUAUUGGGUUGUUCUAAUCUCAUGAUCUAGAUCGCGGGAUUGACAACUUAGCCUGGUUAACUCGGUUUUUAUUUUUAUUUUUUAAUUGUUUUAUUUUUCAAUUUUAUUUUUUAAUAUUUGGUUGAUUGGGAAUUAGGCUUUAUGAUUUGUUUCGGCUUAUUUUUCACUAAGUUUUCUUGCUCUCAUGACUUGAGAAUAGUGCUAAACGGAUUAACCGAAGUUGACUCGAGUUGUUUUUUGUAUCCUUUUUUAUUGACUUUUUUUUCAAAAUUAAUCAUUCAACAUUAUGUCGGUUGAGAAUGAACUUUAUAAUUUGUUUUUUUUUUGUUUAUAGGAUUAUCCCGGUCUCAUGACUAGGAUCAUCGGUUUGACAGCUUAACCUGGUUAAAUCAAGUUGUUUUUUUUUUCUUUCUAAGAUAUUAUCUUAAUCUCGUAAUCCAGGUAACAGGUUUGAUGGAAUGUCUCUAGUCAUUUUUUAUGUUUUUUAAGUGAUUUUAUUUUUAAAUUUAUUUUUGACAUUAGCACAUCAAAAUGAUAUGAAAAAACAAAGAAAAAUUAUUAUUUUUAAAAAAUAAUUUUUUUUUCAAAAAUAUUUUAAAAAAUAAGCAACCUGUAAAGGGCAUAAUUUUAUUUAUUUUUAUCUCAAUCCAACUCAAAUUUUAUUAGAAGAAUUUAAAAGCUUUAUUUUCUAUAAAAUUAGAACGUUUUAGUCAUUUAAAACCAGUAAGACUUUCAAAUAAAAACACAAAAAAUCUAUCACACUUGUAAUAUUUUAUUAGUUGAUUUAGAAUUUUUUCCUAUUUAGUUUAAAAUUCUAUUAUUAUUAUUAUUUUAAUUUUGUUUAGGAUUUUUUAAUAAAUAAAAACUAUAAUAUUAUAUAUUAAUUAGAGAAUUUUAAUAUAGUGAUUCUACUCGUAUUACUUGUUUUUUCUGCUUGCAGUAGAAGUUUCAAAAGCAUUAAUUAUUUUUUUGAAGUACCCGAUUAAAAAUAAUUAAAUUGGGUUUGAACUCGAGAGGGAUUUUUGUCUAAAUUAAAAAUCAAUCAGGUUCUAGAUUGCUUCGCCGCUGAUUUAUAUUAUCUAACCAAAUAAUUGAAAUGAGAUUUGGGCCUCUAAUUCAAUCCCUUCGUGGUUUUGAAAUUAGAUAAAGAAGAUGGAGGCUUAUUCUUAUUCUUCUUAAGAAGAAAAAUACUAAAAACAGGAAUUAACUUCCCUUUUCACGAUAUAUCUUAAAGGACAAAGCUAUCGAAUGGAUCAUACCAAUAAUAUAGUACACCAGCAUCGCAUGCUGGAUAAUCCUCUGUCUUGUCGACCAAAGCAAGAGGGUGAGGUAGAAUAUUGUACACCAGACAAGCGCAGACAAAAGAAGCAUAUACAUGAUGCAAAUUGGGCAAGUUCAGUCAUUGAUAGAGGAUACAGAUUAAAAUAUUGCACUUAAGUUUGAGAAAAUAUAGUAACAUGGCAAAGUAAAAAACAAAAUGUGGUUGCAAGAAGCAGUGCUGAGGUAGAAUAUAGGGUUAUGGCAAUGAAGUUUGGGAAAUGUUAUGGCUAAAGAGAAUUCUUGAAGAGGAAGAGCUGUGAAUGCCUAUGAAUAUGCCAACAUUAACAAAGCUCCCGUUUCUUGUUUUUCCUAAUUUGUGGCCUUUCUAAUUUGGUGAUAUUCAGCACUCAUCUCCAUCUGUGCCGCAUGCAUUGCAAGUGAAGGAGAUUAUAGGCGUCUAAAUUGAUGUUCAUGCCGCAUGCAUUGCACAUGAACAUCUUGAAGCAGUUUAUCGGAUUCUCAUAUGCUUGAAAAGCAAACCAGACAAGCGCAGACAAUACAAGCAUACACUGAUGCAGAUCCAUUUUAGAAUAUUGUACUUAAGUUUGAGGAAAUAUAGUUACAUGGCAAAGUAAGAAACAAAAUGUGGUUGCAAGAAGCAUACAAAAUGAGGUAGAAUAUAGGAAGAGAAUUCUUGAAGAAACUGUGAAUGCCUGUGAAUAUGUCAACAUUAACCAAGCUCCCGUUUCUUGUUUUUCUAGCCUAGAGAUCCGAUCUUUAUUUUGAUUUCCUAAUUUGGUGAAACUUUCUAUACACAGGGAAAAUUGUCUGAGAGUGGGUUAGCUGAACGAAGAAAUGCAACAGAUGUGACGUCUGAUGGUAUAAUAAUCUUCAACAAAUCAGUGCCACAUGCAUUGCAAGUGAAACAGAGAUUAAGGAUUUUCUUGGAAUAGAGAUUGCUCCGAUCUUUAUUUUGAUUUCCUAAUUUGUGGCCUUUCUAAUUUGGUGAUCUCCUCUACUAUUUUAUCUUGUAACUUUAUCAUAAAAAAUUAAUUUAAAGUAAAUUUUUUAUAAAAAAAAUAUUUUUAAAACACAAAAAUAAACAGAUUUUUAAUAAUAAAAAAGCUAGGAAUAUUGCUAGCAGCAUGCAAAGGUUCGAGAUUUUUAAUUGGAUACCUACAAAAUUGAAGCAACAACAAUUUGAAUUGGAGACAAGAUUGAUAUAUGAUUUUUUUUUCUUAAAUAAGUAGUCUUGUGAAGGGUAUAGUUUUAUUUUUAUUUUUUACUUUAUCCAACUCAAAUUUUAUUAGAAGAUUUUAAAAGCUUUAUUUUCUAUAAAAUUAGAAUUUUAUAGCCUUUUAAAAUCAGUAAGACUUUCAAAUAAAACCACAAAAACUAUCAACUUGUAAUAUUUUAUUAGUUGAUUUAUAAUUUUUUUUCCUAUUUAGUUUAAAUUUUAUUUUUAUUUCAUAUUUUUUUAAUAUAUAAACACUAUAAUAUUAUAUUUUAAUUAGAGAAUUAUUAUAUGACAAUAUUUUAUUAUAUGACAACAUAUACACGUCGCAGAUAUACACAUAGUAAUUAUCUAAGAAAAAUUAGAUAAGUGUUAUUUUAUAUGACAAUAUUUUUAUGCCUUUAUAAUAAAAUCUAUAACAAAAAUGUAAAGAGGGAAUCGAAACAAUAAGUAGAAUAAUUUAUGGAGAGGAUCAAGAGCUUCCUGCUGAGCUACAAAAAAUGGUGGAAGGUCAGACAUCUCUCUCACUACGAAGGCACACAGAAACAACAAACUACCUUCAAGGACAGUGUUAAUAAAAUAGCAUCCAUUGUCUAAAUUAAAAAUCAAUCAGGUUUUAAACUGCCUCGCCGCUGAUUUAUAUUGUCUAACCAAAUAAUCGAAAUGGGAUUUGAAAUUAGAUAAGGAAAAUCGAGUCUUGUUCUUAUUCUUCUUUUAUAUGACAACAAACACUACCUUCAAGGACAGUUUUAAUAAAAUAGCAUCUUUUAUUGUUCAGAACAAAACAGAGAAACAAAAAAGUGAUCUCAUACAAGAAAAUAGAAACAGAGAUAAUAAUCCUCUGUCUAGCAACUGCCAACAAUCAUAACCCAAAAAUAAGAAAAAAGCCAACAACUGCAAUCCAAUUACCAUAUUAACGGAUCAAUGCAUUGCCUUCUUUUCCUGUGGACGAUAAAAUUGCAGUUAGGAUCAGUACAUUCAAGGGCCAAGUCAUCGCAAGGCUCGCCACAAGUAUCGCAUGCCUGUGGACGAUAAUCCUCUGUCUUGUCGACCGAAACAAGAGGGUGAGGGUGUUUAGGAUACGUGCGAACCCCCCCUUGCUUGACAUAUGGGUAUUUCCCGAGAGCACAUUCAGGAUGAGCAUCGAAGUCGCAUUCCUCACAACGGUAGAACCAGAGCUUUGGGUCUCUAUCUUUUUCACAAAUUAAACAGGAAGGUUGGUAGUCAUUUUCAUUAAUGUAGGUGAGGAGGAGAGGAUGGUCAUCAUACUCGUGUCUUGCUUUGUAUGGCAGUGUAGCACAUUUCAUACCCAGCUUGAAAUCGCAAACCACACAUUUAAAAAAUACCUUUGAUUCUUCACUGACACAACAGCCACUGCAAUGGGGAAUACUCUCUCUUUCCGCUGCAGCCCAUGGGGGACGCCCGCGACCUCCAUUAUUGCAACGGAGAAUAUUCUUGCUGUCCGCUGGAAGAUAAAGGGGAUGCUCAUGACCUUCAUGUUCAAAAGAAUCUUCCAAUGAUUUGAAACAUCGGACAUCAAUCCAGAGUCCACAUACAUCACAUGUGUACCUGAGCCCACGAAAAUAUUGCUUACACACAUCACAGUAGAACAGAUCAUGUGGCCCUCGGCUCCAUGAAAGAAUCAGUUGGUUUUCGUGAUAUUGCCACUUUUUUCGCCUGGGUAAUUCUAUGCAGGUUUUGUCAAGAAAGAAAUUACAACUGGCACAACUAUAAAAUGGAGUUGAUAUUGGAAACAUGCACCCAUCACACUUUAGAUCAUCAUCGACCUUGUCAAUAAGGAUUAGGUUAUGUUGAUGACUCCAAUGGUCGAUCUCUUCAAUUAUUCUGUCCUCUCCAUGCUUGAUCUCACGGACAACGCGAAAGCUAGGUUCCAUGAAUUGACCAUCAACAGUCACACUUUGCUCUUCUUCGUUUUCUUCUACAAUCUCUGUUGCAGAAUCGCCAUAUUCUAUACUACAGUUCACGUGAGCAACGAAGUCACAGUCUGGGCAAUAGUAAACUCCGUAUUCUGUGUCAACUUCCCGACGGCAAAUUCCACAGUACUUGUUUAUAGAUUCGAUACCUUGUUGAAGUUGAUAUGUGUGGAUGAUUUGGGGAUGAUGGUGCAGUGCCGUUUUAAGGGUGCCUGGCAAUGAAAUGCAUUCUUCGUGGACCACGAGUUGGCACAUGGUGCACCCGAAUGGGGAGUCAUCUCCAUCUGUGCCGCAUGCAUUGCAAGUGAAGGAGAUUGAUUUUAGUGAACGUGGAUUCAGUAGGCGUCUAAAUUGAUGCCCCUGAUCCUGAUCAGCUUCAUAAACGCACGGUGGAAAAGCACAUUUGAUAUGGAUGUUGAAUUCGCACACAAAACAGCAGUAAACAAAACUCUCACAACAAGUUUCGUUGCAAAAAUCACACAUCGUAUCAUGAUUUGGCAGUAGACGAAGAGGGUGUUCUGGAUGCAAGUGCCGAUUGAUCUCUGGGGGUAGCUCAGCACACUUCUUGUGAAGAAAGAAGUUGCAAGAAGUGCAACUAUAGCUAGGACCCGAAAUUGGUUCCUUGCAAACAGAGCACACAACUCCUUCACCAUGAUAUUCUUGCUCUUCAUUCAAAAUCAAUGGAUGAUCCUUAUGGGCAAAUUGACUAUCAACCUCAAAAAAACCCGGUUCAAAAGCACAUUUGAUAUCUAGAUCAAACUUACAGGAAGAACAAUGGUAAACAAAACUGUUGAAAGAUUUGGUGCACCGAUUACAACGGUAUUUUCCUUUAUAUGGUGACUUUGCCAGUAGAUGAAGAGGGUGUCUACGAUGAAUGCGCCGCUUGAUCUCACGGGGCAGCUCAGCGCAUUUCUUAUGAAGAAAGAAGUAGCAACAGGUGCAACUGUAGCAAGGACCCCAUAUAGGUCCCUCGCAUCCAGAGCAAAUAACUAGUUCACAACUAUAUUCGAGAACUUGAUUAA
rnacentral:lncRNA from 1 species